CUCAACUUCCUACUCUCUACUUUCAGGGUUCCCGGGGCUCUUUUUACAACAGAUUUAUAAAGUCAACAUCAUUGAGAGCCUGCCCUAUGCCAAGCAUUCUUCUUGGGAGAUACAAAGAUGAUAAAACAAGACCACGGAACUCAAGGAGCUCAAAUCCUAGAUGGAGUGGCAGCAGGCAUCUCCGAAGAUCAGGUGCUCCUGUGAGGAGUUACCAGGAAGAGGAAGGCUCAUUCCUUCAAGGUGCUCACAUCGAAGUUGCUGAGACUAAUAUACAAUGAGCAUGUAGGUAAAGAGAAUUGGCCACGCGUGGUGGCUCAUGCCUGUAAUCCCACCUAUGGGAGGCUGAGGUGGGUGGAUCACCUGAGGUCAGGAGAUCGAGACCAGGCUGACCAACAUGGAGAAACCCCUUCUCUACUAAAAAUACAAAAUUAGCCAGGCAUGGUGGCGCAUGCCUGUAAUCCCAGCCACUCGGGAGGCUGAGGCAGGAGAAUCGCUUGAAUCCGGGAGGCGGAGGUUGUGGUGAGCCGAGAUCAUGCCAUUGAACUCCAGCCUGGGCAACAAGAGCGAAACUCCGUCUCAAGAAAAAAAAAAGAAAAAAGAGAGAGAGAACUGCCCUGGGAGAGGAAUUAGGGGCAAACUGAGCACAGAGGGAGGAAGGAGCCUAUCCAGCCAGGAUGAUUAGAAAUGGAGGGAGAGGUCGGGUGAGGUGGCUCAUGCCUGUAAUCCCAGCACUUUGGGAGGCAGAAGUGGGAGGAUUGCUUGAGCCCAGAAGUUCAAGACCAGCUUGGGCCACAAAACAAGCCCCCAUCUCUCUUUAAAUAAGUAAAUAAAUAAAUAAAUUUAUAUAUUUAGAUAAGCCAUUGUAUCGGUUAGGACUGCAUUUGGCUGCAUGUAACAGAAACCUGACUACGAGGUUUAAACAAAUAGAGGUUUAUUUGUCUCUUGUUAUAAGAAGUGUGGAGAUAGGACGGUGCAAACCUCAAGAUGUCAUGAAGGACCUAGGCUCCUUCUGUCUUCCAGGCCAGCAUCCUUAACAUGUGGUCUUUAUCCUCUUGGUUAUAAAUUGGCUACUCUACCCCCAGGCUUAGACUUUCCAGGGAGCAAGAAGGGGAAAAACAAAACACACAUGCCAGACACAGGCCAGCUGUCUCUUCCUUUUUUAUUUUAAGGAAAUUAAAAGAUAAAAAUAAAUAUUAAAAAAUAGCUGGGCAUGGUGCCGUGUGCCUGUAGUCCCAGCUACUUGGAAGGCUGAGGUGGGAGGAUUGUUUGAGCCCAGAAGUUUGAGGCUGCAGUGAGCCGAGAUCAUGCCACUGCACUCCAGCCUGGGUGACAGAGCGAGACCCUGUCUCCAAAAUAAGUAAAUACAUAAAUCCCAUUGGCUAGAACUGUGUUACAUUAUCACUUCUAGCAACGAGGGAGCCUGGAAGCAAUAUUUUUAGGAUGGCAUAUUGAUCUCCCUUCCUUAAACAAAAUCAAUGGACUGUAAAUGAAGAAGGGGAGAAGAGAUGAAGGUUAUGCAACAAGCAAUGUCUGCCAUGGCCCUAAAGAAUGAGUAGAAUAUGCUGGACGAUGUGGGGAAGGACUUCCAGGCAGGGGAAACAGCAAGAGCAAAAUCUCAGUGUGGGAUGGGAGGGUGCCAGGUGUGUUUGGGGAAUUGGAAACAGCCCAAUUGGAGCAGACGAUGUCAUCUAGUUCAGUUGGAGCUUAGUGGGAAGGAUGGACAGGGCAGUUUGCAUGGCCUGGGUUUGUGGACUUGCCCUCCUGCCCAAACUCAUACUCUGUGGUGCAGUGGAUCAGGUGAUGGGGGACCAGUAACAGCAGACAGUGAGCAACAUCUGAAAAAGUCAGGUUCAGCUGCAACAGUAGACAGUGAUUGGAAUUCAGAGAAAAGCAAACUAUGACACAUCUCCUGACAGCCUGGCAAUGACAGGCACAGGGCAGAAGCCUGCUGGCCUGGACUGAUGGGCACACUCAAGCCAAAACAGACCCCCGCAAGAUAACCUAUUGUCCUGAGUAAACAGCUGAAUGAGAUCCA
rnacentral:lncRNA from 10 species